UACAGAGGUCUCAAGCGUUGUUCGGAUUCAUUGGGCGUAAAGGGUGCGUAGGUGGCGCGGUAAGUCGGGUGUGAAAUUUCGGAGCUUAACUCCGAAACUGCAUUCGAUACUGCCGUGCUUGAGGACUGGAGAGGAGACUGGAAUUUACGGUGUAGCAGUGAAAUGCGUAGAUAUCGUAAGGAAGACCAGUGGCGAAGGCGGGUCUCUGGACAGUUCCUGACACUGAGGCACGAAGGCCAGGGGAGCAAACGGG
rnacentral:rRNA from 1 species